CCUACGGGAGGCAGCAGUGAGGAAUAUUGGUCAAUGGGCGCGAGCCUGAACCAGCCAAGUAGCGUGAAGGAUGACUGCCCUACGGGUUGUAAACUUCUUUUAUAAAGGAAUAAAGUGAGGCACGUGUGCCUUUUUGUAUGUACUUUAUGAAUAAGGAUCGGCUAACUCCGUGCCAGCAGCCGCGGUAAUACGGAGGAUCCGAGCGUUAUUCGGAUUUAUUGGGGUUAAAGGGAGCGUAGAUGGGUUGUUAAGUUAGUUGUGAAAGUUUGCGGCUCAACCGUAAAAUUGCAAUUGAUACUGGCAGCCUUGAGUACAGUUGAGGUAGGCGGAAUUCGUGGUGUAGCGGUGAAAUGCGUAGAGAUCACGAAGAACUCCGAUUGCGAAGGCAGCUUACUAAACUGCCACUGACAUUGAUGCGCGAAAGUGUGGGUAUCAAACAGGAUUAGAUACCCUUGUAGUC
rnacentral:rRNA from 1 species